rnacentral:rRNA from 1 species
UUAAGCGACUAAGCGUACACGGUGGAUGCCCUGGCAGUCAGAGGCGAUGAAGGACGUGCUAAUCUGCGAUAAGCGUCGGUAAGGUGAUAUGAACCGUUAUAACCGGCGAUUUCCGAAUGGGGAAACCCAGUGUGUUUCGACACACUAUCAUUAACUGAAUCCAUAGGUUAAUGAGGCGAACCGGGGGAACUGAAACAUCUAAGUACCCCGAGGAAAAGAAAUCAACCGAGAUUCCCCCAGUAGCGGCGAGCGAACGGGGAGCAGCCCAGAGCCUGAAUCAGUGUGUGUGUUAGUGGAAGCGUCUGGAAAGGCGCGCGAUACAGGGUGACAGCCCCGUACACAAAAAUGCACAUGCUGUGAGCUCGAUGAGUAGGGCGGGACACGUGGUAUCCUGUCUGAAUAUGGGGGGACCAUCCUCCAAGGCUAAAUACUCCUGACUGACCGAUAGUGAACCAGUACCGUGAGGGAAAGGCGAAAAGAACCCCGGCGAGGGAGUGAAAAAGAACCUGAAACCGUGUACGUACAAGCAGUGGGAGCCUCUUUAUGGGGUGACUGCGUACCUUUUGUAUAAUGGGUCAGCGACUUAUAUUCUGUAGCAAGGUUAACCGAAUAGGGGAGCCGAAGGGAAACCGAGUCUUAACUGGGCGUUAAGUUGCAGGGUAUAGACCCGAAACCCGGUGAUCUAGCCAUGGGCAGGUUGAAGGUUGGGUAACACUAACUGGAGGACCGAACCGACUAAUGUUGAAAAAUUAGCGGAUGACUUGUGGCUGGGGGUGAAAGGCCAAUCAAACCGGGAGAUAGCUGGUUCUCCCCGAAAGCUAUUUAGGUAGCGCCUCGUGAAUUCAUCUCCGGGGGUAGAGCACUGUUUCGGCAAGGGGGUCAUCCCGACUUACCAACCCGAUGCAAACUGCGAAUACCGGAGAAUGUUAUCACGGGAGACACACGGCGGGUGCUAACGUCCGUCGUGAAGAGGGAAACAACCCAGACCGCCAGCUAAGGUCCCAAAGUCAUGGUUAAGUGGGAAACGAUGUGGGAAGGCCCAGACAGCCAGGAUGUUGGCUUAGAAGCAGCCAUCAUUUAAAGAAAGCGUAAUAGCUCACUGGUCGAGUCGGCCUGCGCGGAAGAUGUAACGGGGCUAAACCAUGCACCGAAGCUGCGGCAGCGACGCUUAUGCGUUGUUGGGUAGGGGAGCGUUCUGUAAGCCUGUGAAGGUGUGCUGUGAGGCAUGCUGGAGGUAUCAGAAGUGCGAAUGCUGACAUAAGUAACGAUAAAGCGGGUGAAAAGCCCGCUCGCCGGAAGACCAAGGGUUCCUGUCCAACGUUAAUCGGGGCAGGGUGAGUCGACCCCUAAGGCGAGGCCGAAAGGCGUAGUCGAUGGGAAACAGGUUAAUAUUCCUGUACUUGGUGUUACUGCGAAGGGGGGACGGAGAAGGCUAUGUUGGCCGGGCGACGGUUGUCCCGGUUUAAGCGUGUAGGCUGAUUUUCCAGGCAAAUCCGGAAAAUCAAGGCUGAGGCGUGAUGACGAGGCACUACGGUGCUGAAGCAACAAAUGCCCUGCUUCCAGGAAAAGCCUCUAAGCAUCAGGUAACAUCAAAUCGUACCCCAAACCGACACAGGUGGUCAGGUAGAGAAUACCAAGGCGCUUGAGAGAACUCGGGUGAAGGAACUAGGCAAAAUGGUGCCGUAACUUCGGGAGAAGGCACGCUGAUAUGUAGGUGAAGUCCCUCGCGGAUGGAGCUGAAAUCAGUCGAAGAUACCAGCUGGCUGCAACUGUUUAUUAAAAACACAGCACUGUGCAAACACGAAAGUGGACGUAUACGGUGUGACGCCUGCCCGGUGCCGGAAGGUUAAUUGAUGGGGUCAGCGCAAGCGAAGCUCUUGAUCGAAGCCCCGGUAAACGGCGGCCGUAACUAUAACGGUCCUAAGGUAGCGAAAUUCCUUGUCGGGUAAGUUCCGACCUGCACGAAUGGCGUAAUGAUGGCCAGGCUGUCUCCACCCGAGACUCAGUGAAAUUGAACUCGCUGUGAAGAUGCAGUGUACCCGCGGCAAGACGGAAAGACCCCGUGAACCUUUACUAUAGCUUGACACUGAACAUUGAGCCUUGAUGUGUAGGAUAGGUGGGAGGCUUAGAAGUGUGGACGCCAGUCUGCAUGGAGCCGGCCUUGAAAUACCACCCUUUAAUGUUUGAUGUUCUAACGUGGACCCGUAAUCCGGGUUGCGGACAGUGUCUGGUGGGUAGUUUGACUGGGGCGGUCUCCUCCUAAAGAGUAACGGAGGAGCACGAAGGUUGGCUAAUCCUGGUCGGACAUCAGGAGGUUAGUGCAAUGGCAUAAGCCAGCUUGACUGCGAGCGUGACGGCGCGAGCAGGUGCGAAAGCAGGUCAUAGUGAUCCGGUGGUUCUGAAUGGAAGGGCCAUCGCUCAACGGAUAAAAGGUACUCCGGGGAUAACAGGCUGAUACCGCCCAAGAGUUCAUAUCGACGGCGGUGUUUGGCACCUCGAUGUCGGCUCAUCACAUCCUGGGGCUGAAGUAGGUCCCAAGGGUAUGGCUGUUCGCCAUUUAAAGUGGUACGCGAGCUGGGUUUAGAACGUCGUGAGACAGUUCGGUCCCUAUCUGCCGUGGGCGCUGGAGAACUGAGGGGGGCUGCUCCUAGUACGAGAGGACCGGAGUGGACGCAUCACUGGUGUUCGGGUUGUCAUGCCAAUGGCACUGCCCGGUAGCUAAAUGCGGAAGAGAUAAGUGCUGAAAGCAUCUAAGCACGAAACUUGCCCCGAGAUGAGUUCUCCCUGACUCCUUGAGAGUCCUGAAGGAACGUUGAAGACGACGACGUUGAUAGGCCGGGUGUGUAAGCGCAGCGAUGCGUUGAGCUAACCGGUACUAAUGAACCGUGAGGCUUAACCUU